UCUCUUCAUAUGUUGGAUGCUGAUGUCUUAUAUGGAUGUUAUGAUUCUCUAAGACUUUGGAGCAAUGUAGCAGAUAAACAUAGAGAUGCAACCAAGGCAGGAACAGCAAAGGGGAAGAGU
ensembl:miRNA Mir6370 microRNA 6370